AUGUUCCAGAUCAAGGAUGUCACACUGAAGCUAGACCCAGAGGAAAUGAAAUGGAAGAUGUGCAAGAAUGUGAUCUCCUCCAAAUGGAACUUCCUUAUCUAUGUGGUACUACUGCGAGACACUCCUUUUAUCUUAAAGAAAUUAGACAGCAUAUGAAGAUUGGGCAUCACAUGUGAAUGCAUGAUAUGAAGAACCUAGUUACAGUUUCUACUCCUGUCUGCAAGUGAAUAGAUCUAGAAAAGUGUAAGAGAUUCUUUGAGUCGGCAUAAACAUUCUGCUUGUUAAGAAUAAGUUUGUCUCUGAUAAUUGACCUUCAUAGCUAAAAUAUAAAACUAUUUGGAGAGUAUGAAAAAAUGUCUUGUGGUCAUGGUGUGCACUUAAUUCCUGUUGAUAUUUGGCCUCUGUGAAUGUUGGUAUAAUUGUAAAUGAUGUCAAAUUCCAUUUUUAGCAAG